rnacentral:rRNA from 1 species
GACGAACGCUGGCGGCGUGCCUAAUACAUGCAAGUCGAGCGGAUUGAUGGGAGCUUGCUCCCUGAUAUCAGCGGCGGACGGGUGAGUAACACGUGGGCAACCUGCCUAUAAGACUGGGAUAACUUCGGGAAACCGGAGCUAAUACCGGAUAAUCCCUUUCCUCUCAUGAGGAAAGGCUGAAAGAUGGUUUACGCUAUCACUUAUAGAUGGGCCCGCGGCGCAUUAGCUAGUUGGUGAGGAAACGGCUCACCAAGGCAACGAAGCGUAGCCGACCUGGGAGGGUGAUCGGCCACACUGGGACUGAGACACGGCCCAGACUCCUACGGGAGGCAGCAGUAGGGAAUCUUCCGCAAUGGACGAAAGUCUGACGGAGCAACGCCGCGUGAGUGAUGAAGGUUUUCGGAUCGUAAACUCUGUUGUUAGGGAAGAACAAGUACGAGAGUAACUGCUCGUACCUUGACGGUACCUAACCAGAAAGCCACGGCUAACUACGUGCCAGCCGCCGCAGUAA